rnacentral:rRNA from 1 species
AAUUGGAUUGAGAACAACGUACAACUCUUAUCGAUAAGCCAUUGGAGGGCAAGUCUGGUGCCUGCAGCCGCGGUAAUUCCAGCUCCAAUAGCGUAUAUUAACGUUGUUGCAGUUAAAAAGCUCGUAGUUGAAGUGAGGGAGUGUGUGUUCAUGAGAGCUAGUCUCGAGUGUUCACAACCUCCCCCCUCCAAUCGGUGUAGUGGGGUAUUCAGUUAUUUCACUACUCCUUUGGUCGUUUACUGUGAGAAAAUUAGAGUGUUCAAAGCGGGCGUUUGUUUGAAUAGAUUAGCAUGGAAUAAUGAUUGAAGGCUUUCGUGUUCGAUUUGAUUGGUUUGUUCAUGGAAGCAAGGUUAAAAGGAACAGUUGGGGGUAUUCAUAUUCACUAGUUAGAGGUGAAAUUCUCGGAUUUAUGGAAGAUGAACAGGUGCGAAAGCAUUUACCAAGGAUGUUUUCAUUAAUCAAGAACGAAAGCUAGGGGAUCGAAGAGGAUUAGAUACCCUCGUAGUCUUAGCUAUAAACGAUACCGACUAGGGGUUAGUAGAGGUCAAUGUGUCUCUAUUAGUACCUUAUGAGAAAUCAAAGUCUUUGGGUUCCGGGGGGAGUAUGGUCGCAAGGCUGAAACUUAAAGGAAUUGACGGAAGGGCACCACCAGGAGUGGAGCCUGCGGCUUAAUUUGACCCAACACGGGGAAACUUACCAGGUCCAGACAUAGGAAGGAUUGACAGAUUGAUAGCUCUUUCUUGAUUCUAUGGGUGGUGGUGCAUGGCCGUUCUCAGUUGGUGGAGUGAUUUGUCUGGCUAAUUCCGAUAACGAACGAGACCUCCGCCUUUAACUAGUGUUGGCUAUUGUGAUAGCUGAUACUUCUUGGAGGGACACUAUACGUAAAGUGUAGGGAAGCUGGAGGCAAUAACAGGUCUGUGGUGCCCUUAGAUGUUCUGGGCUGCACGCGCGCGACACUGAUCUAUUCAACGAGUGGCUGUGUCGAUAGACUUGGCAAAUCUUGUGAAAGUAGAUCGUGAUGGGGAUUGAUGCUUGUAAUUGUUCAUCAUGAACGAGGAAUUCCUAGUAAACGCAAGUCAUCAACUUGCAUUGAUUACGUCCCUGCCCUUUGUACACACCGCCCGUCGCACCUACCGAUUGAAUGGUCCGGUGAACACUUUGGAUUUUAGGCGAAUGAACUGUAAAAGGGGAGUUCGUUUGGGAGAAGUCGUGUAAAUCUUAUCAU